ensembl:lncRNA
CCUAGCUCAGCGACCAAUCAGAGCCUACCCAGGCCACACUGACCCUGUCACUCAGAAAGUGAGGUGAAGGUGCAUGGUGCUCCCGGGUUUUUCUCAUCUCAGCAAGAGGAGUGGAGGCAUCUGCUACUCAAUCCGAGAAACGCAGGGACGAAAGAGAGGAAAAACUCAGAAUUGAGAGGAAGGAAAGCCAGCAUACUUACCUGCUGGACGUCCGGAGUCGAGUGGUUGGAUGAAGGAGAGAAGCAACGUCGGCUAACCACUCACCUUUCAUCCGGAGAGCUGCUGCAAUUCCGACACCAGUGUGUGUUGGGCUUUUGUGAAACAGAGCAACGGUCAGGUUUUUUUGGAAAGGACAGAAAAGUCCAAGGACCAGGACGAAAUUCCGGUCGUGAUAGAUGGCGAGCCAACCACUUUGAGGACGAUCCACCCCAAAGAAGAUACACACCCACACACUCAUACAUUCCAAUUACACUCACAAGGACCUUUGAAGUUGGCUGUUGCCAACUUAACUCUAAAUUCUUAAAGGGCCCCAACGAGUACUUUUAUUUUGUUUAAGUGUGCACACUAUUUAUUUUAUUUUAUACUUUUUCCUGUACAAAUUGGACAAUAUCUGUUAUACUUUGUAACAAUACAAGAGUGGCUACUCAAAAGUUACCAUUGUGUCCAGAUCAUUAUUGCUGCUCAAUACUUUGGCUCCAUACGAAUUUGGUGUCUUCUGAUACUGGCCAGGGCUUCAUUACGAGCCCAAGUAGUUAUUGUGCUGUAAUUCACCUUUAUACCUUAAAGUUGGUUACAGUAGCCUAUGACAUGACAAUUUUAAAUUGGAGAAAAGCACAUGAAAGCAG